rnacentral:rRNA from 1 species
GUGGAGCAUGUGGUUUAAUUCGAAGAUACACGAAGAACCUUACCUGGCCUUGACAUGGUAGGAACCCUUAAGAGAUUAGGGGGUGCUAGCUUGCUAGAACCUACACACAGGUGCUGCACGGCUGUCGUCAGCUCGUGUCGUGAGAUGUUGGGUUAAGUCCCGCAACGAGCGCAACCCUCGUCCUUAGUUGCUAACAGUUCGGCUGAGCACUCUAGGGAGACUGCCUUCGCAAGGAGGAGGAAGGUGAGGACGACGUCAAGUCAUCAUGGCCCUUACGGCCAGGGCUACACACGUGCUACAAUGGGGCGUACAGAGAGCUGCGAUACCGCGAGGUGGAGCCAAUCUCUUAAAGCGUCUCUCAGUUCGGAUUGUUCUCUGCAACUCGAGAACAUGAAGCUGGAAUCACUAGUAAUCGCAGAUCAGCUAUGCUGCGGUGAAUACGUUCCCGGGUCUU